rnacentral:lncRNA from 1 species
UUCGGUGUACCUUGACAUGAUCUCCAGGACAUGAAAUGUGAGCUAUCUAAGCUGUUCCUUUGUUCCUGGACAUGAUUUAUCCUUCGAUUUGAUCAACAUUAUCUUGUUAUGUCUCUUGUCUAUCAUGUGCAGCGGCAACAGGAUUUGCAGAGUACAAGGGUGGGCUCAUCAAGGUGUGUGGUGGUAGGCUCGCUCGGCCCCAGCAUCUUUUGUUGAACGGACAUGCCGCCUCUUCAGCAUCGGCUACAUGAGAGCCAUGGUGAGCUCUCUUCUCCCUGCCUCCGUUUGCUUGCUCUGAGCUCGUGCUUGUGAGAAACUGCAUGUCACCUCGCUUGAACUCCCUAGCUACACCACACCUUGUUUAAUACACUAGUCAUGCUCUUGCAUACAUGUUUUGUUGGACGAAAAAAUGUACAAUGAUCUGCUCCUUGGGAUAUUAAUUCUUAUGAUAUAUCUUGUAAUUUACAUUAUUGUAAAAGUUAAACCCACUACACGUGUUAGCAGAAAUUGUUUUAGUUUGUCAUACAUAAUUGCCUAUGCUUGUUGGUAGCUAUUAAGUGUAUAAUUCACCAUGGAAGCAUAGUAAUUUCAUGGACAUCAUAAGAUUACAUUUAUGUUCUGAACUUAAAUAUUUAAACUCAGUGUUUAGAUUCUGUAUCUGUAAUCAUAAGCUUCACUUGUAGUCUGGUCGUUCUUAGACAUAUUAUUGUUUGAGUUAAGUUCACCGAACAAUACUUAAAAUUUUAGGAAUCAAUGAUGCCGACCUCCUUGCAGAGUUGUGCCAGGUACCAAAUGAUGACCUACUCGCAUAGUUGUGAUAGUUACCGAUGACCUCCUCAUACUCACCGGUAACAAGUCUGGUUUCACAUUUGCUGGGCACUAUGCUUUUGGUGUAUCAUAUGGCUGGGAGAAAACACACAGUUUCCUGCAUUGUCGGAUAAUGUCAAUUUGUUCUGUAAGAUCUGAGUUUAUUGUACUAUAAAUGGUGAUAAUAUUGUGCCUAGUAUGUCCACGACCUUUUACAUUGUAUGGAUAAUUGGAUAGACUGAACUACCGUAUUCCCCUUUAUACUCCGCAGUCAAACUCAUAUGAUAGAGUAGAUAUUUUCUACCUGUAGAAUCAUGGAGGUAUUAACUACCUGAUGUAGUCAUAGAACAACAUCAUGUUUGAAUAUGCCAAAUGUUUGGGCCUAAUGAUGUUCUGUAUUAUGGCAGCUGCUUUAUUACUUUCUUUCUAGGUUUAUGUGCAGUGUUGGAUUAAUGAUUUAAGUGCAUUAGCGGUUUAUCUUCUUGUUCACAAGUCUGUUUGCAUUGGAUGUACAUAACUGUCAUUUUUACAUCUUGCAUAUUUAACAUACAUGACAAUAGUAGUAGGUAUUGAAAUAUAUGCGAAGGUAGAAGCUAUCGCUGCUGCCUUGUGGGUCGUAAUUCUUUCUCUCCAGACGCGUAUACUGCCUGAUGUAUCGCUCAUGCUCAUAUUCUGUAUUGAGAUAGUCCUAAUAUCCAUCGGGUUGUAGAUUGAUUUCCCCUGAAAAAGCUAUGCUUCUUUCCUUAGAUGAUAAGCAUGUUCGACAGCUAUGUGGAAUCCUUAAGAUAAAUGGUCUUUAGUUUCUUUUGGUGCAUCUGCGUGCACAUAACAGUCCGUUAGUUUCUCUUUAUAUAAUGAAGAAAAUAUGUUGUUAUCAUUUGUUUAUUAUUAUCUAUCAUCUGUAGAUUGAUUUUUAGGCCAUCAGUACUUCUAUGUAUAAUUUGUAGUCUCUUGAAUGAAUAAUUUUUCUUUAGGUGUCAUGUGUCUUGUGUUACUACAUACAUCUGGCGUGAAGUACAUGGUUCCAGAACUAUGGUAACCCGUAGUUUGCUCUACUGGUGAUAGUAGGAUGAUGGAAACAUCACUACUAAAUGUAGUUCAUGUUUCUUCAACUAAUCAUCAUGUACUAGAGUUUCUCUUCUUCUUGCUACUGUUUGGUUUUUGACGUCACUAGCUUGUACUGAAACGUGCAGACUUUACCCCUUGCUAGAUCCUUUGGUGGAGGUGACCCAUGUGAUGGUGAUUCGCUCCAGCAGUUUCGGUCUGACACUGGUGGUGCUACACUACUACUACUCCUAUGAUGGCGACGCAUUGGUAGGCUCGGCUGCCUCCCUUUGUUGUCACUGUGAUGGUGAAGCUCAGCCUAGGCUACAACCACUUACGAUGAGCUCCUCAGGUCCCCUUCUACCCCUCCUACUCGCUCCAUGAUUCUUUGCUUUGCCUUUGUGAGGUGUAAUUGUUUAAUUUUUGUCAUAGUGGAGCAUUGGAUGAUAUAUUGUAUCUGUCAUGAGGUACAUGGUUCAUGGAUAUGCCAACCUGCAGCUUGUUGUACUAGUGAUAGUAGGAUAAUGCAAGUUUUGACAAUCAAUACAUAUUCCUGCAUGUUAGUGUCUCUCCGUGUAAGUACUAAUUCUGGUGAGAAGAAUACAAUUAUUAUUUAACCAGUCCAGAUUUUUAACAUUUGAUGUACUUCCAAGGCACACAGAUCUCUACUCUUCUACAUAAUCCACACUUUGUUCUGGAAGCAAGUCAGUUGUACCAUGCUGUUACAUCACAACAAGGUGUCAUUUGAUGUAGUGCUGCUGUUGAUGCUCCCUAGAGUCUAGAUGUAGAUGUACUGCUGCUGUUGAUGCUCUAGCUGUAGCCUGUACUAUUGUUGUUUUGCUUCUUCAGUGUUAGUUUCGCUACUACUAGCUGUUGGCUGCUACUAGUUAGUACUUAGUAGUUACUGCUAGCAGUGCUAGUAGCUGCUGCUGCUUCUAUUGCUUGUGCAAUUGUGCUAGUAGCCAGUAGAUGUUCAUUGCAUGACCUGCACUCGUAGCUAGUAGAUGUGCUGGUACCUGUACGCUAGUAUUGUUGGUGUGUUCAAUGUCUUAGUAGAACAUCAUCAGGUUGAUGUGUUGUAGUCAAGUUUUGGAUGUUUUGCCAUGCCAUGCUUAGUGUUUACUAAACUGAGGUAUUUGAGCAUUUAUGUGUAAUUUCUAUUCUCUUGAAUGGAUAUUUUUUUAUUGGCAAUCAUUUAAAUUCCACUGUAUCUCACUUAUAAUUUAUGCAGAUCAGGAUCUAAUAUUAUUGAGGUUGUUGUUGUUGUGAGCAUGAUCAGAAGAAGCCUGGAGAUGUGCACAAUAGUUUUAGUUGAUGUUGCCACCAUGUUUUGGUGCAUGUGUAUUUAUUUUUGAUUGUAUGCAAACUUGAUGGAUCAUGCAGACGUGUAUGUGCUGUUGUGAGUUUCAUUGAUUCUGGAUUUGAUCAUUUAAUUGAGAGAACUAUUGAUUGUUUGCUGUUGAAAUGUGUAACAGAAAUCUGUGAAUGAAAAGGUUGAAUGUUCUAUUGGAUUGAAUAAUAUUUGGGC